UACGGGGGGGGCAAGCGUUGUUCGGAAUUACUGGGCGUAAAGGGUUCGUAGGUGGCCUGCUAAGUCAGACGUGAAAUCCCUCAGCUCAACUGGGGAACUGCGUCUGAGACUGGCAGGCUUGAGUGCAGGAGAGGAACGCGGAAUUCCAGGUGUAGCGGUGAAAUGCGUAGAUAUCGGAAGGAACAUCAGUGGCGAAAGCGACUUCCUGGACCAAUACUAACGCUCAUGUGCGAAAGCGUGGGGAGCAAACAGG
rnacentral:rRNA from 1 species